GUGUUCAGUUGACCGUGCUGCGUGAUGAGCGUAUCGUGGUCGUAGCAGAGCAGAGCCAGACUCUACUGAGGAGGACAGCUUCCAGUGGAUGAGCCGCGUGCUGCAGAGAUUGGUCCUGCGUCUGUGAUGGUGGGGAACCUGGUGUCUGGGAAGAGGAUCGCUAUGGCCAGUGGCAGAGACCUGGGACAAACUGAUGACAAUGACCAGUUCCUGUUCCUGUCAGAGGUUCUGCAGUGGAGAUCUCAGACUACGCCUGAACACAUCCUCUACACACUGCUUAGCUCCCGGGUA